GCGUUUAUAGAAAACACAGAGAACAAAGUCACUUCCUGUCAUUAUUGUAGAGCUCAGCUGAAAAGCUCAAAUCAAGUUUUCACAACGGUUAAAUGUUCCCCUCUUUAAUGCAUGCAACAGGAAGUGGCAGUAUUAUUUUUUCUGUGGUUACCCUUUCUAUGCAUGCUUGACCUAGAUCGACCUCUAGCUGGUUGGUUUGGUAAACCAUCAGUUCCCAGCUAAGGUCACCGGGAGGUGUGUCAGAUUUGUUACAGUCCAGCCCGGAUCGAUUUUACUCCAAUCUGGUUUGAGCAAAACUGUCUGCAGCUUAAAACAGCCGAGCACCAACAGGCCUCACAGAGUACGAUGCAUUUGAGCAGCAAAGAAGCGCUGCCUUCUAGCACUGAGCAGAAACCGACAAUCCACCGGACCAGUCAGAGAAAAGGACAAAAAACAAAACGUUCAGUGACAACCGACGGUCGGAGCAUCAGGAGAGUCCCAGCGGUCUGGACUGAAAACUGCAUAAAGGGUCACAGGGGGCGGCCAACCCUGCUGCUGCUGGGUGAAGGUGAGAUUCUGUUCCCUGAACAGGUCACCACAACCUGUGGAGCUGGUCAUUGGACCAUGGGAGGAAACCGGAGUCCCCAGAGAAAACCCACGCGUGCACGGAGAGAACAUGCACACUCUGCACAGAAAGGUCAGAGCGGUGGGAUUUGAACCACAGCCUUUCUGCAGGAAGACAUCAGCAAAUAGAUAGACGGCCCUUUCAAAAUAAAAUACAUCCUGUCUCAGAAACAAUCCUCCUGCUGCAGCAGAUUUACUUGAAUCCCAAAAGCAAGAAAGUCAACUUUAUGUAAUCUAAAUAGGUGCUUUUUGGCAUAUUCUAAUGACAAAUCUCUUAGACAGUACAUUGUUAACAUCAUUUUAUCUGACUUGUUCAAAAUCUAAGCAGAAAUGACAAAACAAAAAACAACUAAAAAAAUGUAACCAAAAACUACAAACUCAUAAUUUAUCUAAAUUGUUUCCAUGUUUUUUUUCAAAGCCUAAAGAGCCGUAAUGGAUGAAUGAAGAAGCUGCAUUUGGCUCCGGGGCCUCAUGUUGAAGGCCUCUGGGACAGAGGCUCCAGAAAGCUGACUGGGGUUUUAUAACGUUUAUUUCAAGUCUGCCUUUUUUUGUAGCCAGAGGAAAGUGAAUGUUGGGGACGGCAUCAGUGUGAUCAUGAUGCAUUCCCUCUUUCCGCGUGGAAAGAUCCUGUUUUGUGUGUUUUCCAGCGGUUCUGUUAUUCCAUGAUGAACUUUCCACCACACUACUUGAUGGACUCCAACGUCUUCUGACAGAGUGACACAGUCAUGAAUUCAGUUCUGAUCCAAGAAUAGAGCUAUGAGAGCCAGAGUUGAGUCACUCUUUCAGCAUCAGACGGCAGCUCUGGCUUUACGUGUGCUUUGUCCCCAUGAGGGAAACUCUCUCAUGACCCGCUGACUUGGAGAAACAUACAUUCAUUUGGGCCAAAGCUUCUUCACUAUGUCAGACAGAUCCAUCACAUUUAAAGCAAAGUACAAGAAACUGUGAGACUUUUGUUUUAUAUUAUGAUGUAAAAAUAUAUUUUUGGGUUAUUUUCCACUCUUACAGUUAGAAUGAAGUCAAAUAAAAACCUUAUUUUACAGUUA